rnacentral:tRNA from 1 species
ACUCGCUUGGUCCAGCGGUUAAGACGGCGGAUUUUGAUUCCGCAGACGCCAGUUCGAAUCUAGCAGCGAGUGCCA